GUGUGCGCGCGCGAGUGUGCGUGCGAGUGUGAGUGUGCGCGCGAGUGUGAGUGUGCGCGCGAGUGUGCGUGUGCGCGCGAGUGUGCGUGUGCGCGCGAGUGUGCGUGUGCGCGCGAGUGUGCGCGCGAGGCGUCAGCCACCCUCCCCCCUACACGUUGAUCUUAUUCGAUCGGCCGGGCCCCGCCGGGCCGAGGUGAGAAGAAAGCGCCGCGAAGCCCUUGGGCGCUGUGCGGCUGGGCCGGGUGGGAUGAGUCGAUCAGAUAGGCGAGGCUACGGCCGCUGAGCGCCCUGCGAUUCUGACCCGC